GCGGGAGUAGCUCAGUUGGUAGAGCGCUAGCCUUCCAAGCUGGAUGUCGCGGGUUCGAGACCCGUCUCCCGCUCCA
rnacentral:tRNA from 1 species